rfam:Pongo abelii chromosome 1.
GUCUACGGCCGUGCCACCCUGAACACUCCCGACCUCGUCUCAUCUCAGAAGCUAAGCAGGGUCGGACCUGGUUAGUACUCGCGUAGGAAAGCAGGAGGGUCC